GAUGAACGCUGGCGGCGUGCUUAACACAUGCAAGUCGAACGGAAAGGCCGAAGCUUGCUUCGGUACUCGAGUGGCGAACGGGUGAGUAACACGUGGGUGAUCUGCCCUGUACUUCGGGAUAAGCUUGGGAAACUGGGUCUAAUACCGGAUAUGACGAUCUCUUGGAUGGGGUUGUGGAAAGCUUUUGCGGUAUGGGAUGAGCUCGCGGCCUAUCAGCUUGUUGGUGGGGUAAUGGCCUACCAAGGCGUCGACGGGUAGCCGGCCUGAGAGGGUGUACGGCCACAUUGGGACUGAGAUACGGCCCAGACUCCUACGGGGGGCAGCAGUGGGGAAUAUUGCACAAUGGGCGCAAGCCUGAUGCAGCGACGCCGCGUGGGGGAUGACGGCCUUCGGGUUGUAAACUCCUUUCGCAAUCGACGAAGCCUUUUGGUGACGGUAGGUUGAGAAGAAGCACCGGCUAACUACGUG
rnacentral:rRNA from 1 species